rnacentral:tRNA from 1 species
GCAUUGGUGGCUCGGGGUAGAAUUCUUGCCUCCCAUGUGGAAGACCUAGGUUCAAUCCCUGGCCAAUGCA